rnacentral:snRNA from 1 species
GUGCUAGCUUUGGCAACACAUAUACUAAAAUUGGAAUGAUACACAGAUGUUUAGCAUGGCCCCUGCNUAAGGAUGACAUGCAAAUUUGUGAAGCAUUUCAUUUUUUA